UACAGAGGUCUCAAGCGUUUGUUCGGAUUCAUUGGGCGUAAAGGGUGCGUAGGUGGCGCGGUAAGUCGGGUGUGAAAUCUCGGAGCUUAACUCCGAAAUUGCAUUCGAUACUGCCGUGCUUGAGGACUGGAGAGGAGACUGGAAUUCAUGGUGUAGCAGUGAAAUGCGUAGAGAUCAUGAGGAAGACCAGUGGCGAAGGCGGGUCUCUGGACAGUUCCUGGACACUGAGGCACGAAGGCCAGGGGAGCAAACGGG
rnacentral:rRNA from 1 species